rnacentral:rRNA from 1 species
GACGAACGCUGGCGGCGUGCUUAACACAUGCAAGUCGAACGGAAAGGCCCUGAUUUUGUGGGGUGCUCGAGUGGCGAACGGGUGAGUAAAACGCGAGUAACCUGCCCCUGACUGUGGGAUAACUCUAGGAAACUGGGGCGAAUACCGGGUAGAAGCUACUGCUCCGCGUGGGGGGUUAGAAAGAGUCGGCGGUUGGGGAUGGACUCGCGGCUUAUCCGCUUGUUGGGGGGGUAGUGGCUUACCAAGGCUUUGACGGGUAGCCGGCCUGAGAGGGUGACCGGCGACAUUGGUCCUGAGGUACGGCCCAGACUCCUACGGGAGGCAGCAGGGGGGAAUAUUGCGGAAUGGGCGGAAGCCUGAUGCAGCAGCGCCGCGUGCGGGAUGACGGGCUUUGGGGUGUAAACCGCUUUGGCCUGUGACGAGGCGUGAGUGACGGUAAUGGGUAAAGAAGCACCGGCUAACUACGUG